CCCUUAGAUGUUCUGGGCGGCCCGCGCACUACAUUGGCAAUCUCAAUAAGUUCCUAGAUCUAAAACUUUGGGGUAUUCUAUUAAGUGGUGUCGUGACUGGGAUUAACCCUUGCAAUUAUUGGUUACGAACGAGGAAUUCCUUGUAAUCGCGGUUUAUCAGCCCGCGUUGAAUGCGUCCCUGCCCUUUGUACACACCGCCCGUCGCUCCUACCGAUGAAUCGUCCGGUGAAGUUCAUGGAGUGGUGGUUGUUCCAGCUGCUGUCGAAGUGAAAUGGACCUCACGAUUUAGAGGAAGGAGAAGUCGUAACA
rnacentral:rRNA from 1 species